rnacentral:rRNA from 1 species
UCGAGAAUCUUCGGCAAUGGACGCAAGUCUGACCGAGCGAUGCCGCGUGCGGGAUGAAGGCCCUCGGGUUGUAAACCGCUGUCAGUUGGGAGGAAGGGCCUGUGCAGAGCAGGUCUUGACCGAUCUUCAGAGGAAGGACGGGCUAAGUUCGUGCCAGCAGCCGCGGUAACACGAACCGUCCAAACGUUAUUCGGUAUCACUGGGCUUAAAGCGUGCGUAGGCGGAUGGGAAGGUCAGAUGUGAAAGCCCACGGCUCAACCGUGGAAUUGCGUUUGAAACCACUCAUCUUGAGGAAGACAGGGGUGAUCGGAACUCAUGGUGGAGCGGUGAAAUGCGUUGAUAUCAUGGGGAACACCGGUGGCGAAAGCGGAUCACUGGGUCUUUUCUGACGCUGAGGCACGAAAGCUAGGGUAGCGAACGGGAUUAGAUACCCCCGUAGUCC